AAAACAUUGGUUCCCGUAUGAUCACCAAAGUUAAGCAUCAAUGAACCUGGUCAGUUCCUAGGUGUGUGAUCUCUUGGGAAUACCAGGUGCUGUAA